GACAGAGGGGGCAAGCGUUGCUCGGAAUUACUGGGCGUAAAGGGCGCGUAGGCGGGAUGGCAAGUCGGUCGUGAAAUCCCUCGGCUCAACUGAGGAUCGUCGAUCGAUACUGCCGUUCUUGAGGAUUGCAGAGGAGACUGGAAUUCCCGGUGUAGCGGUGAAAUGUGUAGAGAUCGGGAGGAACACCGGUGGCGAAGGCGGGUCUCUGAUCCAUGUCUGACGCUGAGGUACGAAAGCCAGGGGAGCAAACGGG
rnacentral:rRNA from 1 species